rnacentral:lncRNA from 1 species
AAACCCCAAUUCACACUUAGCCAGCUCAAGAAGGCCAUCCCCCCACAUUGUUUCCAGCGAUCCGUUCUCCACUCAUUCUCCUAUGUGAUUUCCGACCUCACAUGGGCAUCUCUCUUAUAUUACAUUGCUACCAAUUAUUUCCACCUCCUUCCUCAUCCUCUCUCCUACCUGGCCUGGCCAAUUUACUGGGCCUUCCAAGGUUGCAUCCUAACUGGCGUUUGGGUCAUAGCACAUGAAUGUGGCCACCAUGCCUUCAGUGACUACCAAUGGCUUGAUGACACUGUUGGC